rnacentral:ncRNA from 1 species
UAUAUUUGCCGAUCGUUAAUAAAGCUUAUACAUAAAAAUCAUUAAAAUUAAUAUUUGCAUG